GCAGUAGACUCCGGACAGACUCCGCCUUCAAACUGGCAAAUCCGUGUAACUGUCACCUCUGUUUUACUGUCGUGAUGGAGACAUUGACCCGGAUCAGACACCAGGGGGCGGGAAAGCACAGUCACAACUGAUACGGCCAGCCGUCGUGAAACGCAAGCGCGAAUUUUUAGUUCUACGAUUUCGUCGACUGCCUUACCGCCGGCAGAGCUGAGUUAGACGUUAACGGAGGCGGUUGGUGAACACGAGAGCUAGUGAAAAGAAGAGUUUGUUUGAUUUGUUUCAGCCCCAGGACUGAGGCGUUCAGGUGGCGUGAUUGGCGUGCCCUGUCUGCAAUCCUCCCUUUCAGUAAGUCUCUUCAGCCCCAGGACCGAGGUGUUGAGGUGGCGUGAAUUCGGCGUGCCCUGUCUGCAAUCCUGCCUUUCAGUAAGGGGCAGUAAGGACAAGAUCCACCCACCACCCAGUGCAUGCUACAUAUGUGUGUGUAAUAAAUUGAGAGGGAAAGUGUGUGUGAUAAAUGAAAUUUA